GACUUUUAGUUCAACCUAGCAAAAGAACAGAGAUGUGGGUAAAGGGUGAGGUGGAUCAGAGCGCACUUUUUUUUCCCCAAAGAGGAGGCCAGUGUGUGCGCAUAACUAUUAAUAACUGUGUGUGUGUGUGUGUGUGUGUGUGUGUGUGUGUGUGUGUGUGUGUGUGAUUAUUGCAAAUCUCUCCCCAAGAAGCCUCACCACACUUUCAGGGCUAAGAAUGGACUCUUCGCCACUGUCGUGUGACUAACAAGCCCUGCAGCUGCAGGUAUUCUGGGAAAUAAAUUGGGGAUGUGGCGUAAGCACUUGAAACAGCCCUGGAAGAAAGGGAGCGGGUGGGGGAGACGGCAGCAGGGUUGAAUGCCCUCCGCUGACGGCAGGAGCAGUGAAUGGAUGUGGCAGCUUUCAGAUUUAAUAGGGAUGGUUCUUCCAUGUGUGGGCCCAACAGCCUCCAUCCGAAGCCCAGGUGAGACAGAAUUAAUCAGUGAUGACUCCUACACUUCGCUCAGGCUCUGUUCUGUUGUGUCAGAGUAAGAAGAACCUAUGAAGAGCAUGGCUGGAUCAGACCAAAGAAGGUCUAACACACCGAGCAUCCUCCGCCAAAUGUUUCCAGGAAGAACAUGAAAUGAACAGCCCUUUCCAGGAGAUGCUCCCAAAAGAACAAGCAGCAGAAGCCAGUGCAGCCAGGCAGGGAGGAGACGCCGCCAGCCUCCCAGGAGCCAGGAGACGCCGCCAGCCUCCCAGGAGCCAGGAGACGCCGCCAGCCUCCCAGGAGCCAGGAGACGCCGCCAGCCUCCCAGGAGCCAGGAGACGCCGCCAGCCUCCCAGGAGCC